CCCUUAGAUGCUCUGGGCCGCACGCGCGCUACACUGGUCGAUGCAACGGGUUUCUUUCCUUGGCCGACAGGCCUGGGCAAUCUUUGAACAUCGAUCGUGAUCGGGAUAGAUUCUUGUAAUUUUUGAUCUUAAACGAGGAAUUCCUAGUAAACGCAAGUCAUCAGCUUGCAUUGAUUACGUCCCUGCCCUUUGUACACACCGCCCGUCGCACCUACCGAUUGAAUGGUCCGGUGAAAUCUCCGGACUGGCGUGAGUCGGAGCAAUCUGACAAACACCGGAAAGUUGAUUAAACCUUACCAUUUAGAGGAAGGUGAAGUCGUAACA
rnacentral:rRNA from 1 species